UACGGAGGGAGCUAGCGUUGUUCGGAAUUACUGGGCGUAAAGCGCGCGUAGGCGGCUUUGUAAGUUAGAGGUGAGAGCCCGGAGCUUAACUCCGGAACUGCCUUUAAGACUGCAUCGCUAGAAUCGUGGAGAGGUGAGUGGAAUUCCGAGUGUAGAGGUGAAAUUCGUAGAUAUUCGGAAGAACAUCAGUGGCGAAGGCGACUCACUGGACACGUAUUGACGCUGAGGUGCGAAAGCGUGGGGAGCAAACAGG
rnacentral:rRNA from 1 species